GCUGAAAGGAGCGUCCCCAUGCCGGUUAUAACUAAAAUAUUGCUUAUGCAACAUUUCAUACAAGUGGUCCUAUGCCUUGUCAGGAAGUUGGCGAGGCUAGUCCAAAAACUCCGCACCGGUUUGGCAUAAAUCUUAUCUAGACGACUUAACUGGGGAGCGGGUACUGUAAGUGCUAGAGCUGAUUUUUUCCGCGAUGCACUGAGGUUCAUCCCGUUUUCUACGAUUUAGUAUAAUCCCUUC
rnacentral:rRNA from 1 species